rnacentral:tRNA from 1 species
GGCUGGGUAGCUCAGUUGGUAGAGCACUGGUAGUGUUCCAAAGGCCGCAGGUUCAAAUCCUGCUCCAGUCA